UUGUUUAGUUGUUUUGGCGUUCGGUGGAUGCCUUGGCACCAAGAGCUGAUGAAGGACGUUGCGGCCUGCGAAAUGCCUCGGGGAGUUGGCGAGCGAGUGUUGAUCCGAGGAUGUCCGAAUGGGGGAACCCGGCUGGGGUCAUGCCUAGUCACUGCCAUCUGAAUUCAUAGGGUGGUGGGGGGAACGCGGGGAAGUGAAACAUCUCAGUACCCGUAGGAGAAGAUAUUCCGUGAGUAGUGGCGAGCGAAAGCGGAGGAGGCUAAACCGUGUGCGUGUGAUAGUCGGCGGGCGUUGCGUGUGCGGUGUUGUGGGGCUCAUCUGUCCAUCUUCUGCCG
rnacentral:rRNA from 1 species